GGGUGAUGAAAGCGAUGAAGGCACUGCCGAAGCAAAAAGUUGAAAAAUCCGUGAAUAGCCACUGAUAUUCUUGGGUGACUAGCUUUCUGUUCUUGGUCUUUGUUCUAAAGGCUCCACACCAUGAGCUUGUCCAUAAUAGCUGCUGGUGGAGCAGAUAGAGCCUUUCAUGGUCCAAUUUUUAUAUGGAGUUACUUCCUGUAUUUGGGGGUAAACACAAAAGUCUAUGCAGUCUAUCAGAUAACAUGAAAUUCUUUUGCAGAAAGCUGGGAUUGACAUGCAAGGUCUUGGUGCUCCUGAGAUACUUCAAAAUUUUCACUCCCAUCCGAGCUGCUUAGAGGUUAGUGGCACAUGGAGCUGCCGUUCCUGAAUAUUUCUAUGCAAACCUAAAGCAGUAAAGCAAAGGACGCCAAUCUGGUUGAAUCUCCAUGCAAAUUCAAUCCCUUAAAGCAUGCUAAUAGAUACCAGGUUGAUUCUGUUCCAUGUGUUAUGCCUGAUGUGCAAACGGUCAAAUGCAAGUUCUUAGAUUGUAGACAGAAGCAAAGGCAAAAAAAGGGGUUAUUUCCUAUCCGCCUAACCCCUGGUGAGAAGAAUUAUCGAUACCUUUGCUGGUGGAGGUGACAGGUUUUGUGGAAUAGUCGAGGUGUGCAAGUUGGCCUAGACACCACCAGUGCUUUCAAAAAGGAAUUCACAAGAGCAAAUACAUUUGAGAGUUGACACUGUGAUAAGGGUAUGUGAACUUCACUACACGAAUGUGUACGAAAUCUUGAAUGGUAGAGGUGGAUGAGUUCAUUGUAUCGAUGCAACACUAUAUAAGUCGCG
rnacentral:misc_RNA from 1 species